rnacentral:tRNA from 1 species
GCCCAGGUGGCUCAGUCAGUAGAGCAUAUGACUCUUAAUCUAGGGGUUGUGAGUUCAAGCCCCAUGUUGGGCA